rnacentral:rRNA from 1 species
GACGAACGCUGGCGGCGUGCUUAACACAUGCAAGUCGAACGGAAAGGCCCUGCUUUUGUGGGGUGCUCGAGUGGCGAACGGGUGAGUAACACGUGAGUAACCUGCCCUUGACUUUGGGAUAACUUCAGGAAACUGGGGCUACUACCGGUUAGGAGCUCCUGCUGCAUGGUGGGGGUUGGAAAGUUUCGGCGGUUGGGGAUGGACUCGCGGCUUAUCAGCUUGUUGGUGGGGUAGUGGCUUACCAAGGCUUUGACGGGUAGCCGGCCUGAGAGGGUGACCGGCCACAUUGGGACUGUGAGACGGCGCAGACUCCUACGGGAGGCAGCAGUGGGGAAAAUUGCACGAUGGGCGGGAGCCUGAUGCAGCAACGCCGCGUGCGGGAUGACGGCCUUCGGGUUGUAAACCGCUUUCGCCUGUGACGAGGAGGGAGUGACGGUAAUGGGUAAAGAAGCACCGGCUAACUACGUG